GUUUUAGUAGUUUAAUAAUAAAACAAUGAUUUUGUAAAUCAUAAAUAGAUAAAUCUCUAAAACU
rnacentral:tRNA from 1 species